rnacentral:lncRNA from 1 species
AUUUUUUUUUUUUACCAAAAUAGAGAAGGGUGAAACCGUCUCUUCACUUAGAACACAAACCUCCAAAGUAGUUAUUGUUCAUUUCCCUCCACUAUAUAUACUAUCCCUAAUAAAUUGACAUUUUCUCACUCCUUCGCAGCAGACUGAACUGAAGGUGGAAGCAAUGGAAAUGCCAAUUUGCAAAUGUGGAACCCCUACUCAAAUGAAGAAUUUGGGACUAAUUUGUACCCGAAUAGACGAUUUCCCAAUCUUCAACGUGGAAUGCAUAUGCAGGGUUGCUCUUUCUUUCUUUAGUAUGAUCUCCCGAAUGUUUGAGAGAUUAAAGAAGCUAAUAUCUGGUCUUCUACGCUCGGGGCGGGAGAUGAGAAUCGAAAUUAGGGAACUCCAUACAAAUGGAAGUGAUAUGUGGAAGAUUUGGUUUUUGAAUUUGUUUGUGAAGUGAUUAUGAAGUAGAUCUGCAGUUAGAUUUGAAUAGAGUUGGUUAAAAUGUGUAUGGGUUCUGGGGUUUUAUGUUAGAUUCGUACUCUUUCGAUAUAAUGGUGUAACCUAAGUUAUGGGUACGAAAUGUAUUUGUAAUUUAUGUAGCGUUCUGUGUCAUCUUCUUGAUUUUGUUAUGAAAGUAAACCUAGUUAAGGCCCCA